UACAGAGGUCUCAAGCGUUGUUCGGAUUCAUUGGGCGUAAAGGGUGCGUAGGCGGUUCGGUAAGUCGGCUGUGAAAGUCCAGGGCUCAACCCUGGGAUGCCGGUCGAUACUGCCGGACUAGAGUUCGGAAGAGGCGAGUGGAAUUCCCGGUGUAGCGGUGAAAUGCGCAGAUAUCGGGAGGAACACCUAUGGCGAAGGCAGCUCGCUGGGACGUUACUGACGCUGAGACGCGAAAGCGUGGGGAGCAAACAGG
rnacentral:rRNA from 1 species